rnacentral:rRNA from 1 species
AUUGAACGCUGGCGGCAGGCUUAACACAUGCAAGUCGAGCGGGGUGAUGGUGCUUGCACUAUCACUUAGCAGCGGACGGGUGAGUAAUGCCUAGGAAUCUGCCUGGUAGUGGGGGACAACGUUUCGCAAGGAACGCUAAUACCGCAUAAGUCCUACGGGAGAAAGCAGGGGACCUUCGGGCCUUGCGCUUACAGAUGAGCCUAGGUCGGAUUAGCUAGUUGGUGGGGUAAAGGCUCACCAAGGAGACGAUCCGUAACUGGUCUGAUAGGAUGAUCAGUCACACUGGAACUGAGACACGGUCCAGACUCCGACGGGAGGCAGCAGUGGGGAAUAUUGGACAAUGGGCGAAAGCCUGAUUCAGCCAUGCCGCGUGUGUGAAGAAGGUCUUCGGAUUGUAAAGCACUUUAAGUUGGGAGGAAGGGCAGUAAGCUAAUACCUUGCUGUUUUGACGUUACCGACAGAAUAAGCACCGGCUAACUCUGUGCCAGCCGCCGCGGUAA